GCUUAACACAUGCAAGUCGAGCGGUAAGGCCUUUCGGGGUACACGAGCGGCGAACGGGUGAGUAACACGUGGGUGAUCUGCCCUGCACUUCGGGAUAAGCCUGGGAAACUGGGUCUAAUACCGGAUAUGACCUCCUAUCGCAUGGUGGGUGGUGGAAAGAUUUAUCGGUGCAGGAUGGGCCCGCGGCCUAUCAGCUUGUUGGUGGGGUAAUGGCCUACCAAGGCGACGACGGUUAGCCGACCUGAGAGGGUGACCGGCCACACUGGGACUGAGACACGGCCCAGACUCCUACGGGAGGCAGCAGUGGGGAAUAUUGCACAAUGGGCGAAAGCCUGAUGCAAGCGACGCCGCGUGAGGGAUGACGGCCUUCGNGUUGUAAACCUCUUUCAAGCAGGGACGAAGCGCAAGUGACGGUACCUG
rnacentral:rRNA from 1 species